rnacentral:snoRNA from 1 species
AUGCAUCUCUGACAGACCUGAAGCAGUUAAUGUCUGCUGCUAAGGUUUCCAUUAUAGAUGCAAGAAAAAGAAGAUCCUCUGGUUGUGGCAGCCAAGAUUGAAUGGGGGAAUACAGGA